AAGUAAUCCGAAGUGGGAAUUGUUGGUUCUAAGGAACCCCCGUCUCCCUCUAAUACUAGUAGCCUCUCACUUCAAUCCUCUAUUGCAUAAUCCUCUAUUGCUCUGAGAAAAGUGAGUGAGUGAGAGAGAGCAAUGGAGAUGUCAAUGGCUUCUACAACUCCAUGUUUCUCCCUCCCCAAGAAAACUUUUUGUAUUUCCACUCCUCUCCUUAAGAAACAAUUGUUUGGUACUACUUUGCCUGGUUGUUUAUCUGCUAAACUACCCCUCAAACUCAACCCAAUUCAUACUUCUAUAAAAUGCGCUGUUUCUGAGGCUACUCAAGCUCCAUCUGCCUUAGAGAAGAAGAGCCAAUUGAUGAGGAGAAGUGAUAUACGGAAUAUAGCAAUUGUUGCACAUGUUGAUCAUGGGAAGACUACAUUGGUUGAUUCAAUGCUCAAACAAGCAAAGGUUUUUCGUGAUAACCAGUUUGUACAAGAAAGGAUCAUGGACUCCAACGAUAUAGAGCGUGAAAGGGGAAUAACAAUACUUAGCAAAAAUACAUCAAUUACUUACAAGGAUACAAAAAUCAACAUAAUUGACACUCCAGGGCACUCUGACUUUGGUGGUGAAGUAGAACGCAUCCUCAAUAUGGUUGAAGGAGUUCUCCUUGUGGUAGAUUCUGUUGAGGGUCCAAUGCCACAGACAAGAUUUGUCUUGAAGAAGGCUCUGGAGUUUGGCCAUGCUGUAGUUGUUGUAGUCAAUAAAAUUGAUAGACCUUCUGCUCGUCCAGAGUUUGUUGUCAACUCUACGUUUGAGCUCUUCAUUGAACUUAAUGCCACCGAUGAACAGUGUGAUUUUCAGGUAAUAUAUGCCAGUGGUAUCAAGGGAAAGGCAGGACUAUCACCUGAAAAUUUGGGUGAGGAUCUUGGCUCAUUAUUUGAGGCCGUCAUCAGAUGUAUUCCAGGGCCCAAGAUUAAUAAAGAUGGUGCACUUCAAAUGCUUGCUACAAAUAUUGAGUAUGAAGAACAUAAAGGGCGCAUAGCUAUUGGACGUGUGCAUGCUGGAAGUCUGCGCAGGGGAAUGGAUGUGAAGAUAUGUACAUCUGAAGACGCAUGCAGAUUCGGCAGAGUAAGUGAGUUAUUUGUGUAUGAGAAAUUCAGUAGAGUUCCUGCUGAAACUGUUGAAGCUGGAGAUAUUUGUGCGGUGUGUGGCAUUGAUGAUAUUCAGAUCGGAGAGACUAUCGCUGACAAAAGCGAUGGAAAACCAUUACCUUCAAUCAAGGUUGAAGAACCUACAGUGAAAAUGUCAUUUUCAGUCAAUACAUCCCCCUUUGUUGGCCGUGAGGGAAAGUAUGUUACUAGUCGAAACCUAAGAGACCGGUUGUACCGUGAGCUGGAAAGAAA
rnacentral:misc_RNA from 1 species